rnacentral:rRNA from 1 species
GUCGAACGCCCCGCAAGGGGAGUGGCAGACGGGUGAGUAACACGUGGGAACGUGCCCAAAGGUACGGAACAACUCCGGGAAACUGGAGCUAAUACCGUAUGUGCCCGAAAGGGGAAAGAUUUAUCGCCUUUGGAUCGGCCCGCGUCUGAUUAGCUAGUUGGUGGGGUAAUGGCCCACCAAGGCGACGAUCAGUAGCUGGUCUGAGAGGAUGAUCAGCCACACUGGGACUGAGACACGGCCCAGACUCCUACGGGAGGCAGCAGU